CUACGGGGGGCUCCAGUGAGGAAUAUUGCACAAUGGGGGGAACCCUGAUGCAGCAACGCCGCGUGGAGGAUGACGCAUUUCGGUGUGUAAACUCCUUUUAUAUGUCAAGAAAAUGACGGUAGCAUAUGAAUAAGCACCGGCUAACUCCGUGCCAGCAGCCGCGGUGAUACGGAGGGUGCAAGCGUUACUCGGAAUCACUGGGCGUAAAGGACGCGUAGGCGGGUUGGAAAGUCAGGUGUGAAAUCCUACAGCUUAACUGUAGAACUGCACCUGAAACUUCUAAUCUAGAGUAUGGGAGGGGGAGAUGGAAUUAGUGGUGUAGGGGUAAAAUCCGUAGAUAUCACUAGGAAUACCUAAAGCGAAGGCGAUCUCCUGGAACAUUACUGACGCUAAGGCGUGAAAGCGUGGGGAGCAAACAGGAUUAGAUACCCCUGUAGUC
rnacentral:rRNA from 1 species